rnacentral:rRNA from 1 species
AUCCCAGACUCCUACGGGAGGCAGCAGUGAGGAAUAUUGGUCAAUGGCCGGAAGGCUGAACCAGCCAAGCCGCGUGAAGGACGAAGGCGCCAAGCAUUGUAAACUUCUUUUGUCAAGGGACAAAAUCAGGCUCGAGAGCCUGACCGAGGGUACUUGAAGAAAAAGCAUCGGCUAACUCCGUGCCAGCAGCCGCGGUAAUACGGAGGAUGCGAGCGUUAUCCGGAUUUAUUGGGUUUAAAGGGUGCGUAGGGGGCAUGUUAAGUCGGCUGUAAAAGCCGGGGGCUCAACCCCGGCGAGCCGUUGAAACUGGCUGUCUUGAGAUGUCGAGAGGUAUGCGGAAUGCGCAGUGGAGCGGUGAAAUG